GGUGGCUUAGUAGUUAGAGCAUCCACCUCGGAUAUGGGAGGUCGUGGUUUCGAUCCCCGUCUUAAUCA